rnacentral:rRNA from 1 species
AGAGUUUGAUCAUGGCUCAGAACGAACGCUGGCGGCGUGCCUAACACAUGCAAGUCGAGCGCGAAUGGAGCAAUCCUAGUAGAGCGGCGCACGGGUGCGUAACACGUGGGUAAUCUGCCUGGAAGAUGAGGAUAACCAGUCGAAAGAUUGGCUAAUACUCGAUAAGCCCACGGGGACUUCGGUCCCUGAGGGAAAAGGUGGCCUCUGUAUACAAGCUAUCACUUCCAGAUGAGCCCGCGGCCCAUCAGCUAGUUGGCGGGGUAAUGGCCCACCAAGGCAACGACGGGUAGCUGGUCUGAGAGGACGAUCAGCCACACUGGAACUGAGACACGGUCCAGACUCCUACGGGAGGCAGCAGUGGGGAAUUUUGCGCAAUGGGCGAAAGCCUGACGCAGCAACGCCGCGUGUGUGAUGAAGGUCUUCGGAUUGUAAAGCACUUUCGACCGGGACGAAAACCCCUUGGCUAACAUCCAGGGGCUUGACGGUACCGGGAGAAGAAGCACCGGCUAACUCUGUGCCAGCAGCCGCGGUA